rnacentral:rRNA from 1 species
UACGUAGGGUGCGAGCGUUGUCCGGAAUUAUUGGGCGUAAAGAGCUUGUAGGCGGUUUGUCGCGUCUGCCGUGAAAAUCCGGGGCUCAACUCCGGAUCUGCGGUGGGUACGGGCAGACUAGAGUUCGGCAGGGGAGACUGGAAUUCCUGGUGUAGCGGUGGAAUGCGUAGAUAUCCGAAAGAACACCGGUGGCGAAGGCGGCCCGCUGGGCUCUUGCUGACACUGAUGCGCGACAGCGUGGGGAGCAAACAGG